rnacentral:rRNA from 1 species
GACGAACGCUGGCGGCGUGCUUAACACAUGCAAGUCGAACGGAAAGGCCCUGCUUUUGUGGGGUGCUCGAGUGGCGAACGGGUGAGUAACACGUGAGUAACCUGCCCUUGACUUUGGGAUAACUUCAGGAAACUGGGGCUAAUACCGGAUAGGAGCUCCUGCUGCAUGGUGGGGGUUGGAAAGUUUCGGCGGUUGGGGAUGGACUCGCGGCUUAUCAGCUUGUUGGUGGGGUAGUGGCUUACCAGGGCUUUGACGGGUAGCCGGCCUGAGAGGGUGACCGGCCACAUUGGGACUGAGAUACGGCCCAGACUCCUACGGGAGGCAGCAGUGGGGAAUAUUGCACAAUGGGCGGAAGCCUGAUGCAGCAACGCCGCGUGCGGGAUGACGGCCUUCGGGUUGUAAACCGCUUUCGCCUGUGACGAAGCGUGAGUGACGGUAAUGUGUAAAGAAGCACCGGCUAACUACGUG